AUGAAGAUGGUUGAAACUGAGAAACAUUUGGUAUUUCCAUUGGUAUACAAACUUAUUAAGUUGGCGUUGAUAUUGCCGGUGUCAACGGCAUCUGUUGAGAGAGCUUUUUCAGCAAUGAAGAUUAUCAAGACUAGACUGCGUAGUAAGAUCAAUAAUGAAUGGUUCAAUGACUUGAUGAUAUGUUACACUGAGCGGGAAUUAUUCAAGUCAGUUGAUGAUAAGGAUAUUAUUCGAACAUUUAUUGCAAUGAGAUCUCGGAAAGGGCAUUUGCCUCGUGAUUUUCUUUAG
rnacentral:rRNA from 1 species